rnacentral:rRNA from 1 species
AUUGAACGCUGGCGGCAGGCUUAACACAUGCAAGUCGAGCGGAGCGGCGGACGGGCGAGUAAUGCUUAGCUAUCUGCCUAUUAGUGGGGGACAAAAUCCCGAUAGGGAUGCUAAUACCUCAUACUAAUAGUUGCACCUAAGUCGGUUUAGCUAGUUGGUGGGGUAAAGGCCUACCAAGGCGACGAUCUGGAGCGGGUCUGAGAGGAUGGUCCGCCACACUGGGACUGAGACACGGCCCCGACUGCUUCGGGAGGCAGCAGUGGGGAAUAUUUGAAAAUGGGGGGAACCCUGAUCCAGCCCUGCCGCGGGUGUGAAGAAGGCCUUAUGGUUGUAAAGCACUUUAAGCGAGGAGGCGUUACUCGCAGAAUAAGCACCGGCUAACUCUGUGCCAGCAGCCGCGGUAAUAC